rnacentral:rRNA from 1 species
GCUUGCUACCUGACCUAGCGGCGGACGGGUGAGUAAUGCGUAGGAAUCUGCCUAUUAGUGGGGGACAACAUUCCGAAAGGAAUGCUAAUACCGCAUACGCCCUACGGGGGAAAGCAGGGGAUCUUCGGACCUUGCGCUAAUAGAUGAGCCUAAGUCAGAUUAGCUAGUUGGUGGGGUAAAGGCCUACCAAGGCGACGAUCUGUAGCGGGUCUGAGAGGAUGAUCCGCCACACUGGGACUGAGACACGGCCCAGACUCCUACGGGAGGCAGCAGUGGGGAAUAUUGGACAAUGGGCGAAAGCCUGAUCCAGCCAUGCCGCGUGUGUGAAGAAGGCCUUUUGGUUGUAAAGCACUUUAAGCGAGGAGGAGGCUACUUGGAUUAAUACUCUAGGAUAGUGGACGUUACUCGCAGAAUAAGCACCGGCUAACUCUGUGCCAGCAGCCGCGGUAAUACAGAGGGUGCGAGCGUUAAUCGGAUUUACUGGGCGUAAAGCGUGCGUAGGCGGCUUUUUAAGUCGGAUGUGAAAUCCCUGAGCUUAACUUAGGAAUUGCAUUCGAUACUGGGAAGCUAGAGUAUGGGAGAGGAUGGUAGAAUUCCAGGUGUAGCGGUGAAAUGCGUAGAGAUCUGGAGGAAUACCGAUGGCGAAGGCAGCCAUCUGGCCUAAUACUGACGCUGAGGUACGAAAGCAUGGGGGGCAAACAGGAUUAGAUACCCUGGUAGUCCAUGCCGUAAACGAUGUCUACUAGCCGUUGGGGCCUUUGAGGCUUUAGUGGCGCAGCUAACGCGAUAAGUAGACCGCCUGGGGAGUACGGUCGCAAGACUAAAACUCAAAUGAAUUGACGGGGGCCCGCACAAGCGGUGGAGCAUGUGGUUUAAUUCGAUGCAACGCGAAGAACCUUACCUGGUCUUGACAUAGUAAGAACUUUCCAGAGAUGGAUUGGUGCCUUCGGGAACUUACAUACAGGUGCUGCAUGGCUGUCGUCAGCUCGUGUCGUGAGAUGUUGGGUUAAGUCCCGCAACGAGCGCAACCCUUUUCCUUAUUUGCCAGCGGGUUAAGCCGGGAACUUUAAGGAUACUGCCAGUGACAAACUGGAGGAAGGCGGGGACGACGUCAAGUCAUCAUGGCCCUUACGACCAGGGCUACACACGUGCUACAAUGGUCGGUACAAAGGGUUGCUACCUAGCGAUAGGAUGCUAAUCUCAAAAAGCCGAUCGUAGUCCGGAUUGGAGUCUGCAACUCGACUCCAUGAAGUCG